AGCGAACGCUGGCGGCGUGCCUAACACAUGCAAGUCGCACGAGAAAGGGGGCCGCAAGGCCCCCGGUACAGUGGCGAACGGGUGAGUAACACGUGGGUAACCUGCCCUUGGGUCUGGAAUAACCUGCCGAAGGGCGGGCUAAUACCAGAUGACGACGCGGGGUCUUCGGACCUUGCGCCCAAAGCUGACCUCUUCUUGAAAGUUGGCGCCUGGGGAGGGGCUCGCGUCCCAUUAGCUAGUUGGUGAGGUAACGGCUCACCAAGGCUACGAUGGGUAGCCGGCCUGAGAGGGCGACCGGCCACAGUGGAACUGAGACACGCUCCACACUCCUACGGGAGGCAGCAGUGAGGAAUCUUGCGCAAUGGGCGAAAGCCUGACGCAGCGACGCCGCGUGGACGAUGAAGGCCU
rnacentral:rRNA from 1 species